rnacentral:rRNA from 1 species
GAUCCUGGCUCAGGACGAACGCUGGCGGCGCGCCUAACACAUGCAAGUCGAACGAGUGAGAGAGAGCUUGCUUUCUCGAGCGAGUGGCGAACGGGUGAGUAACGCGUGAGGAACCUGCCUCAAAGAGGGGGACAACAGUUGGAAACGACUGCUAAUACCGCAUAAGCCCACGACCCGGCAUCGGGAAGAGGGAAAAGGAGCAAUCCGCUUUGAGAUGGCCUCGCGUCCGAUUAGCUAGUUGGUG